AAAAAGUGAAAGGAACUACAAACAGUGUAGUGUGUAGACUUUGAAAAAGUUUGAAAUAAUAACAACUACAAAUAAUGUUGAUUUUUUAGUGUUCAAUGUUUUUGUUUUGCAUUAAUUUUUUUUAUAGCUUUGGACAUGUAAAAAAAACAUAAAAUCAACUAAUCCUCACUGUCACCAUCUGUUAAAAAGAAAAUCACCAUAACAUCAUACAAUAAAAGGGAAAACAUUUAUUGUCGAAAAACUUCAUAAGCCACCGUCGCAACACUUUUUGGUCUCUCAGUCUCUAUCCCCUUUCUUCUUCGUUUCCUAUCACUUGGUCGCAAUGCCACUAGUGCAACUGUGGUGACUAGAUCUGUGACCACUGUGAGGAGAAGAUGAUUCAAAAACGAUGUCCUCCUCAUUUACUUUCACCCUUCCCCAAAACAGAAACCACCAUGGAGGGCGCGUGGUUGGAUGUCAUGAACGUGGUGGUGGUGAACGUUCUUAGCGUCCGUGUCGAGGCGGAGGAGAGUGCCGAGGAAGGGCAUGUCGUUGACCAAAUCUGAAAAAGAAGACAGAAAAACUGAAAGAGAGAGAGCUUUGCGAUAAAAAAAAAUAAAAUAAAUAUAUAUAUAUAUAUAUUAUGGCAUGCUUUGUGUUGCUUGGUACAACCUUAAGAUCUACACCCUUAAUUAUUUUAUUGUUAUAUCCGAG
rnacentral:lncRNA from 1 species